rnacentral:misc_RNA from 1 species
UCUCCGUUGGUGAACCAGCGGAGGGAUCAUUACCGAGUGCAAACUCAUAACCCUUUGUGAACCUAUAUCUGUUGCUUCGGCGGCUCGCUCUCGGGCGAGCCCGUCGGUAAUAUCAGUAUCUCUGUUUGAACCCGACGAUACUUCUGAGUGUUCUUAGCGAACAGUUAAAACUUUUAACAACGGAUCUCUUGGCUCUA